AUUUAAAUUCUUUUUUAAAUAAAAUGGAGUAUUAUCCAGUUACAGGGAAAAAAAAAUAGCCCAGGUUGCCUUCCAUGCCAUUUUCGUUAAUAACUUAACCAUUGUGGAGGCGGGGAAGGAGACACACAUGAAUCUCAGUAAGAACUGAGCGAAACAUCACUUGCCUGUAGCACAAAAGGAAAGGCAUUGUAAUGGAACAAAACAAAGUUCUACAAAUACUCCUAAUUCCCAGCCACAAUGUUUGUGGAAACCUAUGGGUGACCUCUGCAGGUCCCCCACUUUCAGUGCCUGCCAGCACUGCAGGGGCCACUUUCUUUGUAUAAAUAAAUCACGUCUCUUUGAUAAAACUGUUCCCCGCUCCAGUGCCUUAAACCCUCUAGGACUCAAAAGGUGUCAGUAGUUAGAAUGAUAGUUCUCAAGCCAG